rnacentral:lncRNA from 1 species
UUGGCAGGAAAAGAGGAUUAGAGGAAAAUAAAAUCGCGUUAGCCAGCAAACCCAAACACUUUGCACAUGAACUUCUUAAUUCUGUGAACAAAUGCAGAAAUUAUGACCAUGAAAGAAAACUAUGCAAACCCAAACACUUUGCAUAGGAACUUCUUAAUUCCGUGAACAAAUGCGAAAAUUAUGACCAUGAAAAAAAACUAUGCAAAC